rnacentral:rRNA from 1 species
UACGUAGGCGGGAAAUUAAGUCAGUAGUGAAAUCCCACAGCUUAACUGUGGAACUGUUAUUGAUACUGGUUUUCUUGAAUAUAGUUGAGGUAGGCGGAAUGUGUAAUGUAGCGGUGAAAUGCUUAGAUAUUACACAGAACACCGAUUGCGAAGGCAGCUUACUAAGCUAUGAUUGACGCUGAGGUACGAAAGCGUGGGGAGCGAACAGGAUUAGAUACCUGGUAGUCC